AUUGAACGCUGGCGGUAGGCCUAACACAUGCAAGUCGAACGGCAGCACAGUAAUAGCUUGCUCUUACGGGUGGCGAGUGGCGGACGGUUGAGGAAUACAUUGCAAUCUACUUUUUCGUGGGUGAUAACGUAGGGAAACUUACGCUAAUACCUCAUACGACCUACGGGUGAAAUCAGGGGAUCUUCGGACCUUGCGCGAUUGAAUGAGCCGAUGUCGGAUUAGCUAGUUGGCGGGGUAAAGGCCCACCAAGGCGACGAUCCGUAGCUGGUCUGAGAGGAUGAUCAGCCACACUGGAACUGAGACACGGUCCAGACUCCUACGGGAGGCAGCAGUGGGGAAUAUUGGACAAUGGGCGCAAGCCUGAUCCAGCCAUACCGCGUGGGUGAAGAAGGUCUUCGGGUUGUAAAGCCCUUUUGUUGGGAAAGAAAAGCAGCAGGUUAAUACCCCGCUGUUCUGACGGUACCAAAAGAAUAAGCACCGGCUAACUUCGUG
rnacentral:rRNA from 1 species